rnacentral:rRNA from 1 species
UGGCUCAGAUUGAACGCUGGCGGCAUGCCUUACACAUGCAAGUCGAACGGCAGCACGGGUGCUUGCACCUGGUGGCGAGUGGCGAACGGGUGAGUAAUACAUCGGAACAUGUCCUGUAGUGGGGGAUAGCCCGGCGAAAGCCGGAUUAAUACCGCAUACGAUCCAUGGAUGAAAGCGGGGGACCUUCGGGCCUCGCGCUAUAGGGUUGGCCGAUGGCUGAUUAGCUAGUUGGUGGGGUAAAGGCCUACCAAGGCGACGAUCAGUAGCUGGUCUGAGAGGACGACCAGCCACACUGGGACUGAGACACGGCCCAGACUCCUACGGGAGGCAGCAGUGGGGAAUUUUGGACAAUGGGCGAAAGCCUGAUCCAGCAAUGCCGCGUGUGUGAAGAAGGCCUUCGGGUUGUAAAGCACUUUUGUCCGGAAAGAAAUCCUUGGCUCUAAUACAGUCGGGGGAUGACGGUACCGAAGA